rnacentral:rRNA from 1 species
GAUGAACGCUGGCGGCGUGCCUAAUACAUGCAAGUCGAGCGAACAGACGAGGAGCUUGCUCCUCUGACGUUAGCGGCGGACGGGUGAGUAACACGUGGAUAACCUACCUAUAAGACUGGGAUAACUUCGGGAAACCGGAGCUAAUACCGGAUAACAUGUUGAACCGCAUGGUUCAACAGUGAAAGACGGUCUUGCUGUCACUUAUAGAUGGAUCCGCGCCGCAUUAGCUAGUUGGUAAGGUAACGGCUUACCAAGGCAACGAUGCGUAGCCGACCUGAGAGGGUGAUCAGCCACACUGGAACUGAGACACGGUCCAGACUCCUACGGGAGGCAGCAGUAGGGAAUCUUGCGCAAUGGGCGAAAGCCUGACGGAGCAACGCCGCGUGAGUGAAGAAGGUCUUCGGAUCGUAAAACUCUGUUAGUAGGGAAGAACAAAUGUGUGAGUAACUAUGCACGUCUUGACGGUACCUAAUCAGAAAGCCACGGCUAACUACGUG